CCCCCUAUCCUAUCCCCCUCCCACCUGUUUCUCUGAGGUUGUUCCUCCACCUACCCACUUUCCCACCUCCCCGCCUGACAUUUCCCUACAUUGGGGCAUUGAGUCUUGGCAGGAACAAGGGCUUCUCCCCUCAUUGAUGCUCAACGUGGCCGUCCUCUGCUACAUAUGUAGCUGGAGCCAACGGCUUGUCCAUGUGUACUCUCUGGAUAA
rnacentral:lncRNA from 1 species